rnacentral:tRNA from 1 species
GCGGUAGCGCCGACGCGGGAGAGUCGGACCUGCCUGUAAAGCAGGUGCCUUGCUGAGAGGGUUCGAAUCCCUCCUACCGCAC